ensembl:lncRNA
GACACCUUCUCCCCAUUGCCCCUCCAGCGUUCCCUGGGACCAUCAUGACCACCCUGGACAUGGAGGUGACCGUCACCAACUUCAACUACUCCAAGGACCUGGAGGACCCGACCUCCGAGACCUUCCUCUUCUUCCAGAACCACUUCCGGCAGGAGGUGAGGCCGUGGGGAACCCGGUGUCCCACCACGGCCACCGUGUCCCCUCAGGGGUGGCCAAGUGACCUUCUGCCCUUGCAGAUCAAGAAGAUCUACGGGACCAUCCCUGGCUACGAGGGCGUGGAGAUCACCAGCCUCAAGUCCGGCAGCAUCGUGGUGGGACACCAGGUCUUCUUCACCAUGGCCCAGAGCAGCAACACCACGGAGAAGUUCCAGGAGACCACGGAGGAGUUGGUGGAGAACCUCCAGGAGGUGGUGGACAGCCAGGGCAACUGCCAGCACAACACCUGUGGGUGACCCCAAAGCCCCCCCAGAUCCUCCUUGACCCCUGCGGGAGCUCCCCUGGACCUCUGGGGCACCCAAGGGUGGUCUCUGAUGUCUUCUCCUCCCACCCCAGCCGUGCUGUGUCUGGUGCUGAGAGGUGACCCCGUGGUCAGCGGCAUGAGGGAGGUGUUGGAC